UGGGGAAUAUUGCGCAAUGGGCGAAAGCCUGACGCAGCGACGCCGCGUGAGGGACGAAGGCCUUCGGGUUGUAAACCUCUUUUAGCAGGGACGAAGCGAGAGUGACGGUACCUGCAGAAGAAGCACCGGCCAACUACGUGCCAGCAGCCGCGGUAAUACGUAGGGUGCAAGCGUUGUCCGGAAUUAUUGGGCGUAAAGAGCUCGUAGGCGGUCUGUUGCGUCGGCUGUGAAAACCCGGGGCUCAACCCCGGGCCUGCAGCCGAUACGGGCAGACUAGAGUUCGGCAGGGGAGACUGGAAUUCCUGGUGUAGCGGUGAAAUGCGCAGAUAUCAGGAGGAACACCGGUGGCGAAGGCGGGUCUCUGGGCCGAUACUGACGCGGAGGAGCGAAAGCGUGGGGAGCAAACAGG
rnacentral:rRNA from 1 species